ensembl:lncRNA
GUCAGGCUUGAGGGUAAACUUGAUUCUGUUUGUGUGUGAAGGGGCUGGAAUAUUUGGGAGGAAGGAGAAAUGUAUUUUUUUUUUUUAGACGGAGUUUUGCUCUUACUGCCCAGGCUGGAGUGCAAUGGCACGAUCUCAGCUCACUGCAACAUCUGCCUCCCGAGUUCAAGCAGUUCUUUUAGGCCGGGCACAGUGGCUCACGCCUGUAAUCCCAGCACUUUGGGAGGCUGAGGCGGGCGGAUCACAAGGUCAGGAGAUCGAGACCAGCCUGGCUAACACGGUGAAACCCCGUCUCUACUAAAAAUACAAAAAAUUAGCCGGGCGUGGUGGUGUGUGCCUGUAGUCCCAGCUACUCGGGAGGCUGAGGCAGGAGAAUGGCAUGAACCCAGGAGGCACAACUUGCAGUGAGCCGAGAUCGUGCCACUGCACUCCAGCCUGGGCAACAGAGCGAGACUCCGUCUCAAAAAAAAAAAAAAAAAAAAGAAAGAAGAGGUUUUUUUAGUUUUUUUUUUUUUUUUUUUUUUUGAGACAGGGUCACCCAGGCUGGAGUGCAGGCACAAUUAUGGCUUCCUGCAGCCUUGACCUCCCCAGGUUCAGGUGAUCCUCCCACCUCAGUUUUUCUAUUUUUAGUAGAAGCCUCGGCCUCCCAGGAGAAUGGCGUGAACCCGGGAGGCGGAGCUUGCAGCGAGCCGAGAUCGAGCCACUGCACUCCAGCCUGGGCAACAGAGCAAGACUCCGUCUCAAAAAAAAAAAAAGUUAAACUUACCUUAAAACCCAGCAAUCCACUCCUAAGUAUAUGUCCAAAAGAAAAGAAAACAAUAGGCCGGGUGCAGUGGCUCACACCUGUAAUUCCAGCACUUUUGGAGGCUGAGGCGUGUGGCUCUCCUGAGCUCAGGAGUUCGAGACCACCCAGGGCAACAUAGUAAAACCCCGUGUCCACUAAAAAUACAAAAAAAUUAACCGGGUGUGGUGGGGCACGCCUCUAGUCCCACCUACUUGGGAGGCUGAGGCAGGAGAAUCGCUUGAGCUCCAGAGGCGAAGGUUUCAGUGAGCCGAGAUCGUGCCACUGCACUCUAGCGUGGGCUACAGAGUGAGACUCCAUCUCACACACACUAAAACAAGAAAUGAAAACAACAAUUUGUACAUGAGUUCAAAACAGAAUUAUUUAUUUAUUCCCCAAACUAGAAACAAUCCAAAUAUCUAUCAACAAAUGGAUAAGCAAAUGAUGAUAUAAUUGCAUUAUGGAAUACCACUCAGCAAUGAAAAGGAACCAACCACUCACACCUACAACAGCACUGACGAGCCUCAGAAAUGUCACGCUAAGUGAAAGAAGCCAGAGCAAAAAAUUACAUGCUAUUCCAUUUCUAUGAAAUUUCGGGAAAAAGCAAAACCAUGCAAAGUAGAUCAGAGGUUGGUUGGGGGUGAGAGCAAAGACUGACUACAAAUAGGCCCAAGGGAACAUUUUGGGGUGAUGGGAGUUUCUAAAAGUGGAUUAUGGUGAUGGCCACACAACAGUAUAAAGAUCAUCCAAAUGUAUUCUUACAACGUUUGAAUUGUAUGACAUGUAAAUUAUCUCAUUAAAUCUG